ACAUUCAACUCAUUUGCAGUUGUCGAGUGUGCGACGACGUCGUUGACGCCUUCUGGAUUUACAACUGAUUCUCGUUUUCUGAGCUGUCGUCUUCGAAGCAGCAAGUAGUGCUGAGUCAGGCGUCGGCAGGCUCAGGCUCCGAUUCGCGAAAGCCUUCGAAAGUCAAUGUGCAUGUAAAGGAAGGUGGAGACGCCAGUCGCCGAAAUACAAUUGACCUCCAAAUCGGGGAAGGACGUUCCAGAAAGAAUACAUUGGUCAAGGUGAACGGUGAAGUUGUCAGUGUGACUCACUCGGCGAGUAACGACGACAUGAGUAACUCGCCGAGGGUUCCUAGAAACCUAUCAGUUCGGACAAAGGAUCAACAAAAUGUAGAGGCAAAUGAUGAUGGUAAUGCUUCGAGAAGAGGGAUUGAUAACACUCAGACUUGGCCGUUUUUCAAUCCAUCAACUCGUUUUCGUCUCCUCAAAAUAAUUUUUGUUUUAAUGUGUCUUGUUGAUAUAAUGCAUUGGGCUUAUCUACUUCGAGACGAUACUAAUGAGAAUCCCAAUUCUUGGAGAUUUUACAAAAAGUUCAAAAGUUUUGAUCUCUAUUACCUUGUGGCUCGAAUGUUCGCUGAUAUUUUCACUUGUGUUCUCGGUUUGGGUGCUGCAAUGUGGACACGGAAACCUUUGUUAACACUUCCUUGCACCACAAUUCAAUUGCUCUUUUUGCUCAUUCGAGCCGCUGUUUGGUCAGUUAGAAGUUACAACAGACUUCUUGAAAAGCUUCAUGCUACCAAUGAAGAUAAGGUCUUCGUAAUCUGUGAAUUUGCACUCCCUGCUAUUUGGGCUCUUUUGUCCUUCUUAAUUGUUCACACAACUCGUCGUCUCCGAUGUUACGAACAAUUACACGGAUAUGCUCGUCCUCCGAUCAUCGUUCUCACCGUCAAAAAUGACGACAACGACGAAAGUGUUCAAAUUGAAAUUGCUUAA
rnacentral:misc_RNA from 1 species